rnacentral:ncRNA from 2 species
AUACCAUCCCGAGCGGCCGAGAGAUCUGGCUCAGUGACGCCGCAGCAACCCACCGACUCGUCGGAGCGGGUGCUACCGCCAGGAUCGAUGGAGU